GUUGUAAUAUCUGAGAGACCACACAAGUUUGAUGAAUGCUGUCAAUUCCAGAUUAUCCAUGGUUUCCCAAUGCCAAAGGUAACGAAUACUAAUUGUGGAUUUAUGGAAUCAACUUUUUAUUUUAGCGUUGAUGUUGAUCAGUACGAAUUGACGUUAUAUUUACCUAUAGUUAUUUUUGCCAAAUAUAAUUCAUGACUUUAUGGAUCUUUUGACAUAUCGUGGAUGGACUUUACUAUUUAGGGCUGCUCGUGUGUUAAUGUGGGAGUUGUAGGAUUUAUACAAGUAUAUUAAGCUAUAAAUCUGCUAUGUACUAUACAUGGAAUAAAACUUACAUUCACUGCUAUGAUUCAGCAUUUCGUGUGAGCCUAGGACCACAUACAACAACUGAAUAUUGCAGCAAGUUGAGAAAUCUUGGCCUACCUAGCAACCUAGAAAUAUUUGCAACAAAAAGGCACCAAAUGUCUAUCUUCUGCCACCUAGAGAUCCCCAAGACCACCUGAACUUUCAAUCAAAUGGAUGAUUAAUCACUACAAAUCAACAUUAGCUCCCCCAAAAAAGUACAAACCAAACUGUGACUUGAGAGGGAGAUAAACAGAUCGAGUUUAAUCAUGGUCCCACUUAUUGCAAGUUUUCCUUGCUAUUGUUAUUUCGAUCUGUGCACACAAAUAGUCAGGAAAUAACUGUCAUAGACAGAGGAAUUAGCAGGGAGGAAGACAUAGAGGAAUAGUACAGGCUACACAAUAUAUUCUCUGAACCACAAGAUAGAGCACAAUGAGCUUCCUCUUCCCAGCGCCAAAGCCACCAACCCCUCUGCAUCCUCCGUGAGCAGAGCAGAGCACAGCCAGCAACACGACAACACGCAUGCUUCACGCCCUUACACAAAACCCAUCUCCAUGCUCGGGCGCAGUCGUGCCACUGCACACCAAGGCACCAACUGCGUACAGCAGGCCGGCCGCGCGCUCCUGCCAUAUGCUCUCUGACCGCGCCGCCGACAGAGCAAAGCCUGUCCGAGGAAAUGGCUGAAUUUAUCUUCACCUGCACCAUGAAGCGUGGCUAAGACCUACUCUCGACCCGGAUGCUGUACCCACUACCUCGGCUUCUUGCUCGUUCUCUUCUUCCUUAUAGUAUUCCCGCACAUCUCAAAUUCCUAGCAUGGCAGAGGUCAGAACAAAGGGCGAGGGAGAGGCGCAUGGUACCGGCAAGCGAGUGGAAUAUGAUAAUGGAGGAAGAAGGAUAACUCCUGAUGCGCCACCCCCGCCCCAUCAACGACCGCUCGUCGACGUCCAAGACAAUAAUGAUCCAUAUCUAACCCACGUCCGCCUCCACAUCCUUCUUUGGUUUGCCGUAGGCGACCUGAGCGGCGGGGGCGAGAGUUAGUUGUGGUUGGAGGCGCUGGAAACCAGUGGGGGUUUUUAGGGAAAGAGCAGCGAUCGGGAGAGGGGCACGGGGAUCUAAUCGGGAAGAUCAGCAAGGGGAGUGAUCCUCGAAAGAAUUUUUCCUGAAUUGAUCUUCUAACGGCGGGGGAAUAUGAGAUCCGCUUUGUACAUCUUCGAGGAAAAUGACAGUAGGUGCAGAAACAGUUGGAGGCACAAUGCUGCCGCUGAAGGAUGUAAAUAUCCUGUGCACACACAUGCAUUUGCCUAGUAUGUGAAAAACAUUAAACUCUGGCUGCUCAUCUCAUCUAGCGUCAAGCCCUAUUACCCCUGUACAGCUUCCCAAAUGGAGCUAAAUGCUCAUUCAUGGCAGACAACCAAAUGAUUCGUUCAUGACGUUGCAACAAAAUCAAUUAAUAAUCCAACAAUAUGGUAAUAAAACCAAACUUCAAUAAUACCAAAACACCAUAAAGUUUCAAUAGGUUGAUAAUACCAAAACAUCCUAAUCUUUUUGAACAUAUGUCUAUAGAGGACCCCACAAACUUAUUAUCUAAUUAUUCAUAUCAAAAAUAAAUAAUUAUCAAAACGAUCCAUAACAAAUCUGAAGUAUAGGAAAACAUUCUUGGCAUAUCUGCAUGCAUCAGCCCAUCUUCAGUUGUUUAAAACCCUCAGGGCUGCUCUAAUCUCUGGCGGGAUGUUUGCAGCAGCUUCAUUGUCUUUGAACAGUAACAUGUGGACCGUAGCUUGGUGUCUGAGCUGUAUAAUAUCCUAGGAAAGGUGCAAAAACUCAAAUCAUUUAAUAAACUGGCUGGAUAUUAAUUAGCACACAUCAACUCAUCAUUUAUGUACUUACGGUAGUGUUCAUCCAGCCCAUGCUACGCAAACGACCAAUCUGGUGGGCCAUCUCCUGUAGCACAAAGAAGCCUAAGUGUUUGCUGUGACAAAAUAAAUAAAUAUUAAACAUUAUAACGGUCUGCAUCUUAUGUAUGCGAUCAAUUUAGUAUAUUACCGAUGAGCAGCACAGGACAUGGUAUCUUGUUCCCAAUCCAUGAUUUGGUUAUUCCAACCAGCAAUCCUAGUCUGCAACACAGUGUUGAAUUCUUCCUUCAGUAGUGUGAUUUCCUUCCUCAUCAAUAUGUUAUGAGUGCUAUCUUCAGGAUCGAACGUGUUGAAGGAUGGGUCCAUCACGACAACCCUCCUCCUCAGCCAGUUGACUACAAGUAACCCGUACAAUGAAUCCGAAAGUUUCAACGGUAGUAGAUACUGUGGCAGGUCGACACAUGUCAAUUGCUAUUAUAAUAAGUAAAACUAACUUUAAGAAUGAGCGUCUCUUACAAUUAUAGAGUUGAACACAUCAUAUUUAGGAAGAGGCUGGACCACAACAUAGUUAAUCACCGUCGUGAUGCGCUCUCCUUGAGUCAUCCAGGAGUACCUAAAGGCCUGUGACUGAGCAUGAAACUGCAAGUCGAAAUAAUGUUUGCUCCCAACCCAGUUGGUGCCUGCGGUCCUCUCUAAUUUAGCACUCGCAAGCUUAUCUACAACAAGGUUGAAGCAUUCAGGAUGAAGUUUUUUAUGAAAAAAAGGGUGUCCUGGAUCAUUCGGAGGCUAAUGUCGAUCUGGUACGGCCGGGAGCUUCUUAUCCAUAUUAAGCUGGAAAAAAUGCCCAACAAAAGACAUGAAUGGUCAUCUUCUAGUUUAACUUUGUCUAUACUAACCUAUAAACCGAAUUCAUGUUUAGAUUGCAUGACAUUGCACGAGGUCAGAUUGUCCUCACCUAGAUGAACCUACACGUAUCAAAUCUAGAACCUUAAUUCAUGGGCUUUGCAUGUCAUUGUUCAUGUAGCGUUGGACUCAACUAAAAAACUUAUACAUGUACCUAUGAAUGUUUUAAGAUUGCCCAUCUAGCUAUCUUUCCUUGCUGUGUAAAAGAGUUUUCCAACAUUAUUUGUAUAUAGUAAAAGAAUGUAUAAUAGGACAACUUACUUUAAUGUAUCUUGGUCUCGAAUGCCCAUGAUAAAGUGAAAUAUGUAUUGUAGUGCGUCUUCCACGGCAUGCAUUGGGGGGGGGGCAAAACAUCCAUGGGCGCAGGCACAUCCUCCUGGGGACCGAGAACAUCCUCCUGGGCCGCAGACACCCUCUUCGGGUGCGUGUGCAGCGUUCCCAAUGAUCGCCUCCAUUGGAUAGAAAAUUAGUUCUUUAGUUCUCGAUCGGAAAUUGCUGAUGGGAUAUAUGUGAACUUGGGUGGGUGGUUAAAUAGUAGGCAGAUGGAGUUUAUCAUUUUGUUACCGUGACAUCUAAUAAAUUGGAGAGUUGAUAUUGCCUUCCAAAUGAUCAACGUCGUUUAAUUAAAGCAAUUAUUCAUUUCCAUGUAUAACAUAUUAUAACUUGUGGACGGAUCUGAUCUUUCUCCCAGUAUCAGAUAAUAUAUUCCCGAUUACAUUAUUUCAGCCCAUUUUGUCUGUGAAUACAACAGAAAAGGAAAUAAAAGAAACUUCCUUUUCCUCCUCCCCGUGGUCGUCUGUAUGUACAAGCAUUAUAUCUUUAUUAGGGUAAUCAUAUCUCUAGAUUUAAUACAAUCUUAUUUUUCUAUCACAGACAAAUGAAAUAUUUAAUUUAUUAACUCAUAUUAAUCUAUACACCGAAGGAUGGCAACGGAGUACGUCUGCUAAUAAAUCAGAGAAGAUGUAAAAGAUCCAAACAUGCUUAAAACAAUCUUGUUUCUUUAGUAUUUCUUUAAGUUACAAAAUAGUUUUUACUAUGUAUAAAAUUUUCGCAUAUAAAAAAAGCAAUAGAUACAAUCUGUGACUUGUCUAUUAAAAUAUUAAAGUUGUAAAAGUGAAAUUAUAAUGUUUUUUUGUUCACUUAUUUUCUCACUGAAAAAUAAUGCUUUGGCCUUUUUAUGUCACUUGUUUGGUUGACUGUAUAUAAACUCAUUGUAGUUAUCUUUUGAUGUUUUGAUCUGGCAGCUUUUAUUAUACACCCCGUUCGACUGUAUAUUAACUCACUUUACAAGACAUUCGACAUGAAGCUAUUAUAAUACAUCCCGUUAGACUGGUAUGAGAUUUUUUCUUCUUUCUUGAACUCGUCGUGCUCAUGGUAACAUGGGAAUUCCUUGAUACUAAUGUAUCGUAUUACAUAUUUCUGUUUUCAGUGUAAAUGUGUUCAUUUACCAACCUAACCUUGGUGAAUCUACAAUCAGGGGCAGCCUUGAUGCCUUCUCAUGUAAGAGUAAGAUCCACAACAUUUUAAUAACUUGAGUCCAUUACAAAUCUACAAUCAGGGGCAGCCUUGAUACCUAUUGAGAUGCAUAUGCAUAUUUUUUCGUCCUCUUAUUCAGUCAUUAGUGCCUCCUUUAUUUUAUUGUCAUUUAACGUGAUAGGUAGGUAUAUAUGGCUAUUAUGUUUAGAGAAAGUUCAUCCAUNNNNNNNNNNNNNNNNNNNNNNNNNNNNNNNNNNNNNNNNNNNNNNNNNNNNNNNNNNNNNNNNNNNNNNNNNNNNNNNNNNNNNNNNNNNNNNNNNNNNNNNNNNNNNNNNNNNNNNNNNNNNNNNNNNNNNNNNNNNNNNNNNNNNNNNNNNNNNNNNNNNNNNNNNNNNNNNNNNNNNNNNNNNNNNNNNNNNNNNNNNNNNNNNNNNNNNNNUUUGAAAAUGUUGGUAACGUAUACUAUUUGUCGAAAAAUGCUGGCACCGUCUUGUACUUUAUAUAGUCAAUAAGAAAACACUUUGGAAGGGGCUUAUGUUGGUUACUCUAAUCAGGAACACAUACAAUUUAAUCAGCUGGUUAUCAGAGACAUCAUGAGCAUGACAGAGAAAUGUGGAUCAUGUGCGAACUUGAAGAUCAAAGGCAAUUGAAGGUACGUCCAUUAUAUCCAGCAUGAUUUUAAAUUGGCUAUUCCAUAGAUUGCAUGUGAGGAUGGCCGCCAAUGUAAACCUUGUAUCGUAUAGCAGUGCGUGUAUGGAUGGAGUUAUACGAUACGAGUUAGUAUAUGAUGUGAGGCAUGACUGUAAACCUCGCAUGCCGGCUGAACCUGCCAUGGUCCAUUACAAAAUGCCUCCGGUUCACCUGGAGCAACAAACCUGCUCCUGUGGCCACGAGUGUUAUAGUACAAAAUAUACAUAGAAGUCAAAAUUAAUAGAUAGAACCAAAACAAGCAGACAACGUUGAAGCGAAAAGGAAGCUAGAGGGAUCCAUCAAAUCCUUUAUUCACUGCAUAUAUAUAUAUAUAUAUAUAUAUAUAUAUAUAUAUAUAUAUAUAUAUAUAUAUAUAUAUAUAUAUAUAUAGUGUUACUAUUCAUCACCCAGGGUGCAGAAUAAGUUAUUCUUCACCCGAAGUAAUAUUACGAUCAUUUCAUAAUUAAAUUACGUUUGGAAUUCAAAUAGUUACAUUCCUAUCGAUUCACGACGUAAAAUUUGACAUAAGAAAAUAAAAAUAUAGGUCAUAAGACAAGAAAAAUUACAGUUUAUGUGUAUUUUACACUAUGUUUUUACAUUUGUAAUUUUACAUAACAUAAAAUAUUUUUUUGACGAUUAUAUAUUUUAUUACGGUCUCUUUUUACUUCGGAAAUAAAGCAAAAUUUACAGAACGUAAAAUUACGGUCCAUUGAUGGUAAAAUAGAGCGGGUGAAGAAUAACUAUUCCUCACCCAGGGUGACGAAUAGUCAAUUCCUAUAUAUAUAUAUAUAUAUAAUCCAAUACAUUAUUCAUAUUUCCAAAAACAUAAAUCUCAAUUUGAUCCCUACCAAAGUUCUAUUAGCUUAUUAUAUUUGCGACAUAUGAGUAUGCAUCAGUCCGGAGUCAUUCAUCCAAAAACCUCAAGGACGUUGUGAUUUCAGCUUGGAUGUUUCCAGCUGCUUCAUUGCGUUUGAUCACCAGCAUCUGGACCAGCAAGUGCUUUCUGAGCUGUAUUGAAUCCUAGAAAAUAUAAACAAAAAUUUAAUAACUUGUUGAAAAAAUAAUUGCACAACAGACAUACAUAAUAGGAAGAACAUAAAAUUAUAAUUAACAUAGCUAUGGAAGACAUAAACUUGUUAGAUAUGCACGUACCGAAGUCCUGGACAUGUUAUGCCCGCGAGUAUCAUCUUGGUGAGCCAUCUCCUGUAGGACUUUCAAUCCAGAAUCUAGGCUGUGACCAAAAGUCUACAUAUAUUAGAACCUAUAGCUGUGUGGCUAUAAUAUGCAUGACCAAUUUAAAAAAUUACCGCGGGGCUGUAAUAAAUGUAUGAUCUUGUGGCCAAUCCACGAGAUCGGGAUUCAAACCAGGCCUCCCCUGUUGCAACACACUGCCGAAUUCUUGCAAAACUAUACGGGCUUCCUUCUUAACUUCCUUGUCAUGAAUGUCCUCUGAGCCUAAGAAUGACUCAUUGGAAUGAUCAAUCAGGAGAGUCCUCCUAUUUUCAAUAUUAACUGCAAGGAGGCCGUAGGAGGAAUCCACCAAAUACAACGGCAAUAGGUACUGCAAUAGGUAUACAAAGUUAAUGGUGAACAGAUAGUAUACAAACCAAUUGUUAAGAAUGUAAAUCCUUACAAUGGACGGGGUCAUGAGCACGUCGCAUUUCGACAAAGGCCGUACAAUGAUAUUGUUAAUCAACAAGUUGGUGCAUUCAGCUUGGCCUAAGCCAGUCUGAAUCAGCACCCGUUUUAGGCGAUGGAAUCGCAAAUCAAACAUAUGUGUGGAGCCAACAAAGUCUGUUCCUGGAUUCCUCUGUAUCGCGUCGCUAGUAAGCUUACGCACUGCAAGAUGGAAGCAGUUCGGAUUGACCCAUGUAUCACCUCGCAUGGUGUCUUGGAUAGUUCGUAGGCUUAACUCGAUAACGAAUGGACGGGAGCUCCUUAUCCAUAUUGUGCUGCAAACAAGACAACAUGAUAGCAAUUCUGUUAGAAAAAUAAGGGUAUCAAAAUAAUGUAAUACUUCAAUGUGUGGGUAAAUAAUAGUACAUUUUUUCCAAACUUUAGUAAGGUCUGAAAUGUAUGUAUAUUCUAAUUGGAAUCGUAGUGUCAAUUCAGGAUAGGAGUACUAUUUAUUGAGAUAACCAAAUAUGAUGUAGACAGGUACCUUUGAUGUUUGAACUUAUUCGCGAUUUUGCUUUUAGCAGAGCUUCCUUUUCCAAGUAUUAUCUCUAUGAUCUGACAUGUUCGGAUGCAAUGUAUUGCUAUAGUAUUACAGUUAUGAACUAAUGUGUAGAUGGCACAUGUAUCAUGCAACAGUACGCGUUGCAAUGUACUACCGUUCAUAAAAAUAUUGUACUUUAAAAUAACGUGGCGUGGAUGGUCCUAUAAUGGGGUAAUGUAAAAGGAUAAUAUUACAACAUGGCCAUUUAUUUGCAACCACUAUGUUAGAUCUUAAGAACCUUAUGUAUUUAGAAAGGAUAGCAUGAACUUUCAGUAAAUGCAUGCAACAAAUUAUAAUGGUAGUGAUCUGCAGCUAACAAUUGCAACUAAAGUAUAGAUGAAGUUUAGGGCUGCCAGAACAAACUCUAAUUUCUCCUCGUCUGAGGAAACCAUGACAUAGUUGUAGAUGUACUCGACUGCGUCAUCCACUCCAUCAAAAAUCGGCAUUGCAGCCAUUACCGCGGGCAGAAAGUCGUCUUAGCACCAGGAUGAGCGAGCGAGAGGGCAUUAGACAAUGGUGGACUCACAGUCGGGCCAUAUAUAUGAUAGUCGGAGGGGACUUGUCCUUCUAACAGGUCGGUGAGGCAUUAGCAUUGGAUUGGAAGGUGCCGAUAUCAUUCCAUCUGUGCAUGUAUCCAUUACAAAACCUUGCAUCUAAAUGGAAAAGCAUUUAUUCUUAUUCCAUACUACAAUGGGCAAAUAAAUAAACACCGAUUAUAAUUCUAUUAUAUACAUCUCCCUUUCCAGAUCGGAACAAGCAGGAUUUAACUUUCCUUAUAAGCAAAUCUGACUAAGGGAAAAUUAAUGGCCAAAAUGGGAAACCCAUUGAACGUAUGGUAGGCCACACCGUUAGAUUGGAUACUACAUCGUAUUGGAAAUUUUAAGUAAACGUUGUCAUGUACUCGGAAGGUGGCCCAUAUCCUUCCAUAAUUACAAGUUGCCAUAACAAAAACUAUAGACGUGAUGAUAUGAUCCAUAGGCGCCUGUGUGUUGCAACGGGGUACAUAUAACAUAAUAUAACCUAUACCAUGUGGAAUAAUCUAUAUCUUUACCCUUAAUUGAAUUAUGAUACUACAGCCCACUUCUCUUACAUGUAUUGAUCCAUAUUCUUAACGCACGGGUAUAUCUCCAUGGAGAGAAAAUUUUGAGUUAUAAAACCUCGUUUUUGCCGAUGCACGUCUAGAUGUUUUUUAAGUAGUAUAUAUUGCACAUCUAAAUCACAUGUAAUUGGUGUGGGUUGCGUUUUCAUUUAGUUUUAUGUUUGAGUGCCUCGUAUGAACGUGGAAUAACUAAGACAUAUCUAGUUAAGCCCUACAGAUACACAUAGGAAGCCUUCUAGAAAGAAAUAUUCCCGCAAAUUUUGUCUAUAGUUUACUUGAUCAAUAAAAUACAGCUGUAGUGAGUCUAGUCACAAUAUGAUAGUGCAUGAAACACCGCACAUUGGCCUUUUAUUCCCGCAAGUCUUUAAAGAUCAAGUAAGAGUUUAUAAUGAUCAUAGUCACGAGAAACAUAAAAGUCAUAAAGGUAAAAAUGAAGCAACUAUUGUUUGGUAUAUAUUCCAACUUCAACAUAAUCCUUACAUGCGCGCCGUUUGCGGACCAUCGUGUUAGGAUCGAUAAGGCAUAAAUGGAGAGGGAUAAGAGAGGGAGAACAUGGACCAGAGGACUCGGGCGGAUGGGGCGAAACAUGCGUCGGCGGAGGCGUGGGUGCGCAUGUUGUUAUCCCAGGAUCAUGCCUGUGUUGGGAUCGCACGAGGGGAAGAGGACUUAGUCAGUUAUUCCAAUAAAAAAAACUACUGUGUGCGUCUGCUGUUUCCUUUCCUGGCUUGUGUGAAAAAAGGAAUGGUGGGGGAGAGACGGACAAAGGACGACGGCGUAAGACGAAAUACUGAACACUGCGUAUUAUGAAGGUAUAUAUAUGUAUAAUACAUUAAUCAUAAUGCCAAAAUGAUAAUUCUCAAUUCGAUCCAUAACAAAACUGUAGAAGCCAUUUAUUUGCGACAUUUGAAUAUGCAUCAGUACAUAGUCAGUCGUCCAAAACCAAGGAUGCUCUAAUUUCGGCUGUGAUAGUUCUGACGUCCAUUGUUCCUACCUUGAACAACACGAUUGUCAUAAGCACGUGUUUCAUCAAGUGUCGUCAGGCUGGCUUCAUGGAUAUCUACGAUAACAAUCAGUGUUAUAUAGUAGUGAAAUAGUAUUACAGAAAAAAAAUAUUGAAAACAAUUUUAAAAUAGAACGCAGCCCCUACCUUGUAGAUAAUGAUGAUCAUCAUUAAUGUUGGGAGAGAAGAAGAAUGUGCUCUCCCUCAUAGUUUGCAAGCAACGCUGCCUCUGAUUUACCUGUAUGUAAGUUACAGCAAACUUCUCGAACAGGUUGUCAGUGCAUUGCAAAUGCCAGAAGUUAGGCCCAACGUGCUCUUCACGUACACGUAAGAAAAUUAUCUGCCAUCUACAAACAAAUACAAAUGUGAGUAACAUUGCAACAAUAGAAUUACAAAAAGAAGCAUAUGAUGAUCUCAUAUUAUAAUUGGCGCUUACUGAAAGUUCAUGAGGCCAAUCUCGAGGGAAGGGACGCGGCACCUAUAUAUUGAAUCCCACAUAAAUUCUAUCUGACCAACAUAGGCAAGGAUAGCAACCACAUCUGCAAAUUUGAAAUCACAAUGAGACUCUGAGUUGUACGGAGUAAUAUGCAAAAAAAACAAAUUAAAUGAUGCACCCGUGAUGGUUUUGUCCCGUAGCUCAAAGAUUUCUCCAAACUGUGGGAAGCACGGUGGGCAAAUUGUCAACAUUAUCUAUUGCGCCGACAUCGUAACCUCGGUCGUAGAACUUAGUGUGGUCACAAAGUCCAUGGCUAGGUACCAGAAAUGUCCAUCAGGCAUUUCUGUGGGGUUGAACCCGGCGCGAUUGAAAUCAUAGGUCCUACCGGUUUCUAGCACGCUAUUGAAACGGAUUGCCUGGCUGUUGUAUGCAAUGGCUUCCAUCUUUGUUCCCUAAUAAAAUUUUCAUGAAACAUAACAACAAUGAGCAAAUAAACAUGUUUAUCAAAAUUGUAUUUAAAAAAUAUGGGCUAUAAAGUAUUCUUACAUGCCGAUCGAGUAGUAUGCACUGAAGGUACAAGUUUCCCAUUCCAUUCUCUUUGUUGUGAGCCUUCCACAUGACCCCUCCUAAUGAUCAACAAAACUUCCUGGCGCGGCGAAAUAGCCGGUUCCUGUGAUAUUUGGUGAAAUCAGUAGAUAUGCCUCUUGCACCAACUGUAGUACUACUCCGGUUCCGUGAAUGCAUUAGGUUUUGCGAAGCUUCAGCUACACCAUAUGGUUCAUUACUUGUUAUGGAUUAGUUCAUAUUAUAAAUAGCUUUAGGUCAUCCAAAUUUAAGCGUAAGCUCUAACCUAUGGCUUAUUAUAUAAGUAGAUUCAGAGCAUAAAUAUUGAAACAAUUUGAAGCUUCAGCUCUAUCCUAUGAUUAGUACUAUAGCAUAUGAGAAUAUAUGCAUGACCAACCACGUAAAACAUUCUAUCGCAUAUUUUGAAAACAGUUAAUGGAAGGGUACUUUAGUCAUUCUCUUUGGACACUUUCUCUAUCUCUAUCUUAAGUGAUCCAUGUGCCAGCUCAAAGUUCGCCUUACAAAAUAGACUAUCUAGGGUAAAACUGUUCAUGUGCGAAGUUAGUUUUGAUAUAUAUUUAUAUUUUGCAUGUUAUUAUCUCAUAUAGGAUGUGAAGAAAAAAGGAAAAAGAACUCCUAGCGAUGGAAGCCGAUCUUAACAAAAGAUAAAAGGUAUGCGUCUUACAAUUCCCGUAUGAUUGGAAUGUUCUACCAGCUUUUUCAUGUGUGGUGUCACAUCAGAUGUAAAUUCAGAAUAUACAACGUCGCUGUGAUUUGUGAUUGAGAACAAUUAAUUGGGCCAUUGAUUUCUUUAGUGUUACAACCAGUGAGGCAAUAGAACUUUAUUUAAGUUGAUCUGGGAUUUUCAGACCAUUAGGAAUCCUAGCACUAAAAUUUAGGGAUUAUAGAUGCUGUAUAUUAGUUAUCUGCUGUUCUGGCAAUUACAAUAUGGUAAUUUGUUUAUGGUGUGCUGGCAUGAGUCUACAGACUUUGCGUGUUCUCAACCUAACAAAUAAUAAUUAAGCAGUUCGUUGUAAUUGCCACCAGAACAGGUAGUGUGCAUUGACUAAAGAGAAGGAGGUCAAAUGGCUAGCAAAACUUUCUAUUUGGUAGUGAUGCAGUUUGAGGCUGUGUAAUAAGGGCAGAAACAUGCAUCAUCUAUUAGCAUAUACUGCCUCAUAUGGAAAACAAAGGGUGCUUCUGACGGUAGUUCAAACAGGCAAAAAAAAUUAGCACUGCAAAAACAAAUCUAAUUUCUCAUCAAUGUAAGAUAAAUUUGUGCUAUGAGAUUUUUUCUUUCUUUUUGAUUACCAUUUGUCCCAAUAACAGGUGCAAGAACCAUUUGAUGGAACCUUCACUUUGAGGCUGUUGAAACUCAGUUGGGAUAGAAACCUUGACUAUUGCAUGGAACCAAUUAGAUGCAAGUGUCAUAACUACCUGUUGUUUAUGUCACUUUGAGGCUGGAAACUGAAGUUGUGAUCUACAAACUCGAUGCACUUGCCAGAUGCUACUGCUGAUGACACCAUCUCCGAGGGCCGUCACCAGCCCCAGACUCCUAGAGUAGAAGUCACCUGCAAGAUACCUGGGAGUCAGUUAUGUGCACAUAAACUGAGAUCCUUGCAGGCAAAAGAGAUGAGUGUUGCCACUUGAUGCUUAUUCUGACACCGGCAACGAGAUGAUUCACCACCUGCAAGCAUUCAAUCAAGAAGAGUAAAGAAUUUGGGGCUGACAAAUCGAUCAAAGCAGGUAUGGAACCGUGGUCAUAUUAGCCAGUCCGGUGUAAAUUUCCUUUUCCUCCGUCAUUGAAUGGUGAGGGAACCUGUAUUUUUUUAUUCCAGGUUCUCACAUCUUGCACAGUAUGACCACGGUACCGAUCAGAGAUCACAAAGUCAGUCUUGGCACCGUAUGAUCAUCUGAUCAGAGAUCAAGAUUUGUAAGGGUUAGCAGUAGGAUUUGUAUUGUAAAGGUUUAAAUACAUAAACGCGAAACCUAGGAGGGUCACACCGGUCCAUAUCAGCUAAUCUCAGAGGGAUUGUAACACCCUCGAUGCGACUAUAGCUCCCACGUAUCGAGGCACGACUUAGAGACAUAAUCGCAUUGAAGGCAUAUGUCGCAAGUAAGGUAAUCUUUACACAUCCCAUGUAAUAUAAUAAUAAAGGGGAGAGAACAUAGUUGGCUUAGAAUCGCCACGUCAAUCAAGGUACAUAAAUAAC
rnacentral:lncRNA from 1 species